CGAUGCGAAGCGAAUCUCGAAAAACAAGUCUCAGUUCAGAUUGCAGGCUGCAACUCGCCUGCAUGAAGUCGGAAUUGCUAGUAAUCGCGGAUCAGCAUGCCGCGGCGAAUACGUUCCCGGGCCUUGUACACACCGCCCGUCACACCAUGAGAGUUGGCAACACCCGAAGUCAGUAGGCUAACGCAAGAGGCCGCUGCCGAAGGUGGGGUUGACGAUUGGGGUGAAGUCGUAACAAGGUAAC
rnacentral:rRNA from 1 species